CCCUUAGAUGUUCGGGGCCGCACGCGCGCUACACUGAACGGAUCAGCGCGUUUUCCCUUCCCGAGAGGGACGGGUAACCUGCUGAACCCCGUUCGUGGUAGGGAUCGGGGCUUGCAAUUAUUCCCCGUGAACCAGGAAUGCCCAGUAAGUGCAAGUCAUAAGCUUGCGUUGAUUACGUCCCUGCCCUUUGUACACACCGCCCGUCGCUACUACCGAUUGAACGUUUUAGUGAGGUACUCGGACUGAGCCUCAGAAGAUUCACGUCUUUUGUGCUGCUCGGGAAGAUUCCCAAACUUGAGCGUUUAGAGGAAGUAAAAGUCGUANCA
rnacentral:rRNA from 1 species